AGCAGCCGCGGUAAUUCCAGCUCCAAUAGCGUAUAUUAAAGUUGUUGCAGUUAAAAAGCUCGUAGUUGAAUUUCGAGAUCAAUUUGUCGGUCGUGCCUCGGUACGUACUGGCAUUAUUGAUUUCUCCCUUCUGAAGAACCGCGAUGUCAUUAAUUUGGUGUCGUGGGGAAUCAGGACUGUUACUUUGAAAAAUUAGAGUGUUUAAAGCAGGCUCACGCUUGAAUACAUUAGCAUGGAAUAAUGAAAUAGGACGUUUGAUCCUAUUUUGUUGGUUUCUAGGAUUGACGUAAUGAUUAAUAGGGAUAGUUGGGGGCAUUAGUAUUCAAUUGUCAGAGGUGAAAUUCUUGGAUUUAUUGAAGACUAACUACUGCGAAAGCAUUUGCCAAGGGUGUUUUCAUUAAUCAAGAACGAAAGUUAGGGGAUCGAAGACGAUCAGAUACCGUCGUAGUCUUAACCAUAAACUAUGCCGACUAGGGAUCGGAUGAUGUUAAUUUUUAAUGACUCAUUCGGCGCCUUAACC
rnacentral:rRNA from 1 species